GAAUAAACAGUGGCUAUAAAGUAGACCACUACAUAGGUGUAAUAAAUCAUGAGGGUAGUAAAAUACUGCAGAGGACUUUGUUCGUUCAUUCAGUUAUGCAGUUGUGUCCGACUCUGCAACUCCAUGGACUGUAGCUCACCAGACUCCUCUGUCCAUCUGAUUUCCCAGACAAGAAUAGUGGAGUGGGUUGCUAUUUCCUCCUCCAGGGGAUCUUCCCAACCAAGGGAUUGAACCCACGUCUCCUGCUUUGGCAGGUGGGUUCUAUAUCUCUGAGUCAUCAGGGAAGCCUGAAGGGGACUUACUUAUGGUGGAAUAAGAGGCGAGCAGGAAGAGGUUGGCCCUGGAAGGGAGGAAACUCAAGCAAAGCUCAGCAAGAAGGACCCUUCACUCUGUCUGAUAUUUUGGACAUGGAUACUUUGGACAUGGAUAAAUCAAGUAAAAAUAACCAUGAAAGCUUCCCUUUUCACAUUGACCUUCACAGAACUUUAGAUGGCCUGGCUUCUCCCUCUCAUAUAAAAUUCAAAGAGCUCUUCUCUAAAGAAAUUGCACAACUCCAGAGCAGUCUCCUGAAUUCUGGCAUUUAAUGAGAUCCUGGUUUGUUGUUUUAUUUUUAAAGUUCUCACUCCAUGACCCAAAAGCAGCAGCAGUUAUGAACCCGCAGUGUGCAUCAGAAUCACAUGGAAUGUAACUUUAUUUGGGUGGCGUCUGUUUUGAGAAUAAUCAGCCCUGGAGAAAUAAGUGUCCUGAUUGACUGACCGCUGUCACAAGGAGAGGGUCAUAAAUUGUCAGCAGGCCCCCCUGGCCAGAAGAUGAUGUAACACCCCUAAGACCUCUGUAUACAUUUGUAUGAAGC
ensembl:lncRNA